ACCUCACGACUGUAAUUAGUGAGGUUAACCUGGUGCAGUCUAACCCAAAGGAGUGGUGGCUGGACACUAGGGCCACUUGCCAUGUCUGCUCCAACAGUAGCAUGUUCACUACUUUCGCACCAGUUACAAAUGGUGAAAAUAUGUUCAUGGGAAACUCUGCAACUUCUGAAGUGCUUGGUAAAGGCAAGGUGAUCCUGAAGAUGACAUCUGGCAAAGAGCUUACUCUGACUAAUGUGCUGUACGUGCCAGAGAUUCGCAAGAAUCUGGUCUUUAGGUCUCUUCUGAGCAAGAAUAGGUUCCACAUGGUCUUUGAGGUGGAUAAGCUGGUGAUUACCAAAAUAGGAGUUUAUGUUGGGAAAGGCUAUAUGACUGAUGGCCUGUUUAAAUUGAAUGUAAUUGCUGUAACCU
rnacentral:lncRNA from 1 species